UACGUAGGGUGCAAGCGUUGUCCGGAAUUAUUGGGCGUAAAGAGCUCGUAGGCGGUCUGUCGCGUCUGCUGUGAAAACUCAGGGCUUAACCCUGAGCUUGCAGUGGGUACGGGCAGACUAGAGUGCGGUAGGGGAGACUGGAAUUCCUGGUGUAGCGGUGAAAUGCGCAGAUAUCAGGAGGAACACCGCUGGCGAAGGCAGGUCACUGGGCCGCAACUGACGCUGAGGAGCGAAAGCAUGGGGAGCGAACAGG
rnacentral:rRNA from 1 species